UUUGGUUCUACAUUUAGCGACCUAAUUCUGCUACCCGUAGUGACAGAAAAAUGGGCUUCGAUACUGCAGUAAAAUUGAGUAAAGGCAAUUGGUGUCUUAUUGAAAGAAGACUAAUGAAUUAAACAGUAUGGGAUCAGAAAUAGAGAAGCUUACAGAAAGAUGGGGCCUUUCAAAUGAAGGAGAGUAAAGAAAGUGAUUGGGCUAUUCCAUGAAGUGAAGAAUCAAUUGUCAUGUGUUUGGAAAUCAAGAUAUUGUACAACUAUUCCCACAAGAAGAAGAAUUUCCCUACAGUCUAUUACAGGGUGCCAUGUGGCAAUAUAAAUCCAAAGGACAAACAAGGCCUAGUUGAAAGCCACUCUCCUGCAAAUUUAGUCUACAUUGUUUGCUCACUUGUAAAAGGACUCAACCCAUUUACAUACUAAGGGGAAAACUCUGCUUGAGAAAUUAGACUUAGCUGUCAUAUCCAAUACUCUUAUUACUCAAUUAUAGUGGGUGUAAUGUACUGAAUAGGUUAAUUUGAAUAAAUUCACAAUUGUUUAGAAUUUUUUGGUUAUUUUAUUUCCUCUCUCCCUCGUAGGUUUUGAACUUUGGAUGUGACGUUAAACAUAGAAUUAACUUUAAACAGCCUUCAGUAGUGUAACUCAUUGAAAAAAUGUUUGUGUCCCAUGGGUAUACUUAAUGCUAAAAAAGUUUUUGUCCCAUGGUUUUCUGCAAUGAAAAAACUCAUUGUCCCAUGCCUGUUUGUACCGGUCCCAUCAUUGU